rnacentral:rRNA from 1 species
UGAGGAAUAUUGGUCAAUGGGCGGGAGCCUGAACCAGCCAAGUCGCGUGAAGGAAGAAGGAUCUAUGGUUCGUAAACUUCUUUUGCAGGGGAAUAAAGUGCAGGACGUGUCCUGUUUUGUAUGUACCCUGAGAAUAAGGAUCGGCUAACUCCGUGCCAGCAGCCGCGGUAAUACGGAGGAUCCGAGCGUUAUCCGGAUUUAUUGGGUUUAAAGGGUGCGUAGGUGGUUUGAUAAGUCAGCGGUGAAAGUUUGCAGCUUAACUGUAAAAAUGCCGUUGAAACUGUCGGACUUGAGUGUAAAUGAGGUAGGCGGAAUGCGUGGUGAAGCGGUGAAAUGCAUAGAUAUCACGCAGAACUCCGAUUGCGAAGGCAGCUUACUAAGCUACAACUGACACUGAAGCACGAAAGCGUGGGGAUCAAACA